CCCUCACAGAGCUGCCGCCGCUAGCAGCUUACCACUUCCGGGAGGCAGGCCUGGCUAAUUAGGGGGCCAGGGCAGUAUGGGAUACUAUCCUGCAGGUGCCCAAAGCCCGCAUCGCCCUCACAGAGCUGCCGCCGCUAGCAGCUUACCACUUCCGGGGGGCAGGCCUGGCUAAUUAGGGGGCCAGGGCAGUAUGGGAUACUAUCCUGCAGGUGCCCAAAGCCCACAUCGCCCUCACAGAGCUGCCGCCGCUAGCAGCUUACCACUUCCGGGAGGCAGGCCUGGUUAAUUAGGGGGCCAGGGCAGUAUGAGAUACUAUCCUGCAGGUGCCCAAAGCCCGCAUCGCCCUCACAGAGCUGCCGCCGCUAGCAGCUUACCACUUCCGGGAGGCAGGCCUGGCUAAUUAGGGGGCCGGGGCAGUAUGGGAUACUAUCCUGCAGGUGCCCAAAGCCCGCAUCGCCCUCACAGAGCUGCCGCCGCUAGCAGCUUACCACUUCCGGGAGGCAGGCCUGGCUAAUUAGGGGGCCGGGGCAGUAUGGGAUACUAUCCUGCAGGUGCCCAAAGCCCGCAUCGCCCUCACAGAGCUGCCGCCGCUAGCAGCUUACCACUUCCGGGAGGCAGGCCUGGCUAAUUAGGGGGCCGGGGCAGUAUGGGAUACUAUCCUGCAGGUGCCCAAAGCCCACAUCGCCUCACAGAGCUGCCGCCGCUAGCAGCUUACCACUUCCGGGAGGCAGGCCUGGCUAAUUAGGGGGCCGGGGCAGUAUGGGAUACUAUCCUGCAGGUGCCCAAAGCCCACAUCGCCUCACAGAGCUGCCGCCGCUAGCAGCUUACCACUUCCGGGAGGCAGGCCUGGCUAAUUAGGGGGCCAGGGCAGUAUGGGAUACUAUCCUGCGGGUCCCGAUGGCUCUAAAAGGGGCAGCACCUACUCUUACGGUGCCAACUCUGGAGGCAAUAGUUGAUGUCCCAGCACAACA